rnacentral:rRNA from 1 species
GUGGGGAAUAUUGGACAAUGGGCGAAAGCCUGAUCCAGCCAUGCCGCGUGCAGGAUGAAGGCCUUCGGGUUGUAAACUGCUUUUGUACGGAACGAAACGGUCCGGGUUAAUACCCUGGGCUAAUGACGGUACCGUAAGAAUAAGCACCGGCUAACUACGUGCCAGCAGCCGCGGUAAUACGUAGGGUGCAAGCGUUAAUCGGAAUUACUGGGCGUAAAGCGUGCGCAGGCGGUUUUGUAAGACAGGCGUGAAAUCCCCGGGCUCAACCUGGGAAUUGCGCUUGUGACUGCAAGGCUGGAGUGCGGCAGAGGGGGAUGGAAUUCCGCGUGUAGCAGUGAAAUGCGUAGAUAUGCGGAGGAACACCGAUGGCGAAGGCAAUCCCCUGGGCCUGCACUGACGCUCAUGCACGAAAGCGUGGGGAGCAAACAGGAUUAGAAACCCCAGUAGUCC